AUGUAAUGGUGAUGGCAAUUCCUAAGCAAUUUCGUGAAACUCUCCCAACUUUCAUAAAAUGAUUCUCCUUCAAAAUGAACAAAAGAAGUGAGGUCAUUUCUAAUUUU